UACGGAGGGUGCGAGCGUUGUCCGGAAUCAUUGGGCGUAAAGGGCGCGUAGGUGGCCCGGUCAGUUCGUGGUGAAAGCGCGGGGCUCAACCCUGCGUCGGCCAUGAAUACUGCCGCGGCUGGAGCACUGUAGAGGCAGGCGGAAUUCCGGGUGUAGCGGUGGAAUGCGUAGAGAUCCGGAAGAACACCGGUGGCGAAGGCGGCCUGCUGGGCAGUUGCUGGCACUGAGGCGCGACAGCGUGGGGAGCGAACGAGGA
rnacentral:rRNA from 1 species